GUUAAGCGACUAAGCGUACACGGUGGAUGCCCUGGCAGUCAGAGGCGAUGAAGGACGUGCUAAUCUGCGAUAAGCGUCGGUAAGGUGAUAUGAACCGUUAUAACCGGCGAUUUCCGAAUGGGGAAACCCAGUGUGAUUCGUCACACUAUCAUUAACUGAAUCCAUAGGUUAAUGAGGCGAACCGGGGGAACUGAAACAUCUAAGUACCCCGAGGAAAAGAAAUCAACCGAGAUUCCCCCAGUAGCGGCGAGCGAACGGGGAGGAGCCCAGAGCCUGAAUCAAUGUGUGUGUUAGUGGAAGCGUCUGGAAAGGCGCGCGAUACAGGGUGACAGCCCCGUACACAAAAAUGCACAUAUUGUGAGCUCGAUGAGUAGGGCGGGACACGUGGUAUCCUGUCUGAAUAUGGGGGGACCAUCCUCCAAGGCUAAAUACUCCUGACUGACCGAUAGUGAACCAGUACCGUGAGGGAAAGGCGAAAAGAACCCCGGCGAGGGGAGUGAAAAAGAACCUGAAACCGUGUACGUACAAGCAGUGGGAGCCU
rnacentral:rRNA from 1 species